rnacentral:sRNA from 1 species
AGAAAAGUAGGUGCCGCCCCGCACAGGGGCAACGCUAAUAGACCACUAACAAUUCAAGGAAAGGCCAAAGCACAAAAAUACCAUCUCAGCAGCGAACCCAUCGAGCAGACC